AAAGUAUAUACAUAUAUGCCUAGAAAAACAUCCAGAAACCUAUUAGACAAAUGUCAACUGUGGUUAAUUAUUGGGUGGUGAAAUUGAGUUUUAAUUUUCUUGUAAUUUUUAAUUUAUGUUUAUUUUACAAUAAAUGAACAGUAAUUACAAAUCUUUAAAGACUUUUGGAAGACCUUUUGGAAAAAAAUUAUUGCUGCUCUUGUGAGAACCACUGAUAGAUAUUGUUUCAGUCCUUCUGCUCUGAGAAGUAUGCAAGUUAUGGUCAUAGAAACUCUGUGGGCUACGAAAAAGUGCACAUUAAGGUUAUUCAAAGGGCUGGAGUUUAUAAGGCACCAGCAUAACCUUGCCACAAACAGGUUUACGCUUAUGAAACAAAUCUAUCUAGGUGGAUUCAUCUUUUACUAAAUAUUUCCCUGUUGACACAGCUUUACUCGCCAAUGUUUAAUUGCUUUGUAUAAUUUGUAUUAAGCACUAUAACAUUAUGCUACACAGUACUUCAACCCAUAACAAGACUUGAACCUGCAAUAAUGUCAUUCCCAAGGAAGAUGACCCAGGAUUUUUGUAUAGGUACCUCCACAGAGCAUGGUGGUUAAGGAGGUUCUGUCAUAGGCUCUGAGCCUGUGUAGAAAUUAGCAGGCAAACCCUAGGUCAUGAUGGAAGUAUGCAUCCAGCAGAAUGGAGAAGGGUCAUUAUGGCCUUCAACUGCAGACAUUAACAAGUGUGUCCUAACCUGCUUCAUUCCUGGCAUGUGGGAACAGAACCUUGAAGAUCUGGAUUCAAGUCAAGCUUCUUGAAUGUUAAAUAUGUAAACAUGUAAAAAUCUGGAAUCCUUUAUAGAUUAUUACAUUUUAAAGCUGAUCGUUUACAUAUAGAGCAUUAAAUUAAAUAGGCACAUUCUUUAUAUAUAAACAAACAAACUCUCUAGUGAUUUAUUUUCUCACCAUGGAAUUUCAAUUUCUGAUGGAUUUUGAUGCACAUAUUGCAUCAUUUAUAUAAAAAUUUCAUUUGAAGGUGCCCAUAAAAUUUAAGCUGCAGGUGAACUAUCAAGAGAAUACGUGAAAGUCAUUUACAAAAUUAGAACGAGCCCAAGACAGGAUGGAAAAACCCAAGCUUCUAUAGAUAUUUUCCAGAAUUUUUAGGGUUCAGGAUGAUCAUGUUUAAUUCCCAAAGCCGCAAUUCCUAGCAGCAUAGGAGCUCUCAAAUAUGCAGAAGGAAAUGAUUCAGAACUGAAAGAGGAUAAGUCAUCCAAUGAAUGGUAAGAAUUAAGCCUAAUGUCAGUAGGUGGCAUGCAUGCCUUCAAUUAUUUGACAUACAGUUACUGAGCACCUGCUCAGUAAAUCAUAGGGCCCAAAGAUAAUUUCCUGGAGGAAUGUGUGACUCAAGGCUAUUUGGUCUGCCUGUGUCCUUCCUCUGUAGCUCAUAAGCACUCUACAUGUGCAAAGUCAAGUUUAAAUGAAAGUCAAGGGGAACAGUGAGAAAAGAAGCGAGAAAGGUGCAGCAUCGUGUGAGAGUGUGUGUGUGUGUGUGUGUGUGUGUGUGUGUGUGUGUGUGUGUUUGUAAUGGAGUGAGAGGUGCCAGAAAAAUUUAGCUUUCCCUUCUUUCCAGGUCUCUUUGCUUCAGGAGCUGGGGAAGUGUUGCAGUCAUCUCCUUUUCCCUUUUUAGCUCUUCUUCAGUCCCCAUGCCUUCAAAUAACCUCUGGAGCUUGGAAUAAUUUAUCUGAUUAACUGUUCUCAGGAUAACCGUGUGGGCAUAAGAGGAAAGCAGGUUACUGAUGCUACUGUGGCCUCCUAGCAACUGACACAAUCAAUGCUCUUUGGUUUGGGAUGUUAGGCUGCAACCGUCCUUAGGGAGCUGUAUAUUUUCCAUAUGUGUUGAGAAGUAUAGCAAAGUCUAAGAGAAUUAAAUGAGAGAAUUUGGUUACCCUACUUUCUGGCUUGCUAAGGGUUAACUUUCUAAAUUCCAAAAUCCUUUUUGUGUCUCCUGUCAUUAAAAUUAUAAAAUAAUUCAUUUCAUUUUUUGUCUUAGCAAAUAGAGCAUUUUGACAAUAACAUAGGAUGUUGUGACUGAUUAACAUGAUGCACACUGUAAAGAACUAAAGAUAUCAAAGGAUGUUGACAUUAAACGCACCUUAUAAGUUGUUAUGAUUUUUCACUUGUAAUUUUUUCCAUAACAUUAGACUAUUGACUAUGAAAGACAAAAAUCUGAUCACUUGAAGAUUGUUAUUUUUUAGAUUAUGAUUAUUCUAGACUUACUGCACUGUUAAUGAACCUUUAGUAAAUUUGAUGCAUAAGUGUUUCCUGGAGUACAAAAAAUAAAUGAUUCUUUGAUAAAGAAAGACUCAAAAUGUUUUUCCUCAUUUUUCCAGUCAAAUUUUUUUUUUUAGUUCAGAUCUUUGAAAAAUAUCCCACAAGUUAUAAAGAUUAAUAAAACUGGACAAAUAUAAAAGUCUCAUGAUUGAAGUGACAUUUUCACAUAAAUUUCAUUAAAGGAACCAUUAGGCUAAAGUGUUUUUAUGUGUAUUAAACUGUGCUAUGUAAACUACCAGGGACUUUUUUUUUAAGCAGCCUAAAUAAAAGAGAAAUGGGUCAAGAAGAAGCUAAUUAAGUAAUUUAUUGAAGGCUCAAGUAUAAACAAGACAACAAUCCAAGAUUCUUAUUUUGCAGAUGGUAUUUUUCACUGCUUCCUUCACCUCUUGGAUGCUUCAUAUUUCACAUUAUUUUAAGAACAAUUCACUCCCAGAGGAUCAUGGAUGUACAGUCAGUUUGGUCUUGCUGAGUCAACGUGUGCACGUGUUCUCACAAAUCUCCAGGCAACAUUCACUGACAAGGCAGGGGGAGCUGUGCUCAGCAUUUUCUUCAAAUUGCUGUCUGAACAGUGGUGUGAAAAUGAUGUUCACUGUUGUUUGUUUCACCCAUUCUCAGUACUGAGAGUUGUCAAAAUUACUAUUUCUGAGUACAGCAUGUGUUCUAAUUAAAGAUAAAGUGUCUUUAAGACUCAGGCCUAUCUCCAGGGAGCAAUGUAUUAGUUACAUGGAUGUAGCCCAGAGGGAAUUUUUGGAAAUUUGGAGAACUGCAUUCUAGAGACUCAAAACUGUGACUGCUGAGUGGACCAUCUAUGGGCAAGAGCAGAAUCACUGAAUACUGGAGGAGGGUUGCAAGGUGGCCUGGUUUCUGUGGCAGUGAUCUGGUAGGUUCUGCUGAGGAAAACUGGAUGGUGUCUGGCAUGUCUUCAGUAAGUAAUAAAUGCUAGCAAGCACUUUUGUUAUUGGAUUAUGGCUGGAAUUGUCAUCUAAAGGGAGAAACGUUAAGUUUUCUUUAAAAUAUUAUUAUGUUAGUUUCCUAAGGCUGCCAUACCAACCACUAACUAGAUAAGUUAAAGCAAAAGAAAUUUAUUCUCACUGUUUUGGAGGCUACAAGUCUGAAAGGAAGAUGUCAGCAGGGCGGGUGCCUUUCGGGGGCUCUGGGGGAGAAUCUGUUUCAUGUCUGUGUCCUGGCUUCUGGUGAACAUAGGCAAUGCUUGGUGUUCCUUGGCUUGUAGAUGCAUCACUCCAGUCUCUGCCUCCAGCUUCACGUGGCCUUCUGCUUGUGUAUCUCUGUGGCUUCACAUGGCUGUCUUCUCAUAGAAACACCAGUCAUAUGGAAUUAGGGGUCUACCCCACUCCACUAUGACCUCAUCUUAACUUAUUACAUCUGCAAGGACCCUAUUCCCACAUAAGGUCACAUUCUGAGGUAUUAUAGGUUAGGAUUUCAACAUAUUUUUGGGAGGACACACAAUUCAACUCAUAUUGGACUUUAUGACUCUAUGAAAUUACUCAAGAGAAUAGCUUCAUAAUGCAUGAGAAAUAAAAAUUGGGGUGAUUCAAGACAUUACAAACUUUAUAGUUAAUGUUUGUUCAAAUUAACUUAAAGGAGGGGGUGGGACCCAGAGAAGGAAGGGGCUCAAGAGAGCUCAUAGCUUAUUUCUACAAAAUAAAGAAUUUCCUUGCUGUCUGUGAGCACUUGGCAACUUUAGGUUGAGGACUGUGCUCUGAAUUGUCUUCUCAUCUCACAUCCCUGCCUAACUGUACACUUACAUUUUGUCAUACAAUCCAUCUCCACACAUUUUCUUCCUUCACCUUUACCCCCACAAUCCCUCCAAUCCUGCCUGGAGGCUAAAGCAAAUGAAAUAUAUCUACUGUUCUGUACAUUUAGCUAAUAAAAGAACACUGAGUCUCCACAUUCAAAUUUCCUUGCAAUGUUAGAUUGCUUGCUCUAGUUUAGCCUAUUAACUAUGGGCAAAAUACCUUGAAUAUAUUUUAUUUCUCUAUUUUGUGACAUUAACAUUUGACUUUCAGCUAAUCAUUUAAAUGUGUGGCACCGGAAAACACAUCUUCAUAAUUGCCUCCUUAUUUACAUUCCUCAGGGCUGAAGCAUGGCAAUUUGAAUGGAUGCAGUUUAAGAAUUAAUAUAGAUAGACAAAAAUGACAGAGGAUUGUAAAGAGGCCCCAUGGUUUUGGGAGCUAUUCCCUGGCAAUCCCUUGUGUUUGAUUAUAAAAAAAAAAAAAAUAAAG